UGAAAUAGUCACUUUCCGUGGGUAGUAAACUCCACCGUUUUGGAUAAAUUAGAGUAAAAAGGUGGUCAGGCUCAGGAUGGAUUGUGAGCUUUCAAAGAGCAAGGAGAUGGAAGCCAGCAAGUACGCCACCAGCCGAAUGAAUUGUUGCUCUAUGGCUUGCACAAAGUCAAGCAAAUUAUCUUCUCAUGUUAUGUAAUAUCUCAACAGCCUGCUUACCUUACUCCUUUAAUCUAGGUUAUUCUUGAAAGUAGCACUUGAAACAAAAAGUCGAUACGUUCUACUGGGAAUGUGAAAGAAAAGCCAAGGUAAUUGGGGAAGCAUUGCCAAGAGCUCACUAGCUAUGUUAGACAAAAGCAUCCCAUGAGUCUUAAUAAAUUUUUUCUGAC
rnacentral:lncRNA from 1 species